rnacentral:rRNA from 1 species
AUUGAACGCUGGCGGCAUGCCUUACACAUGCAAGUCGAACGGCAGCACGGGAGCAAUCCUGGUGGCGAGUGGCGAACGGGUGAGUAAUAUAUCGGAACGUGCCCAGUCCGUGGGGGAUAACGUAGCGAAAGCUACGCUAAUACCGCAUACGAUCUACGGAUGAAAGCGGGGGAUCGCAAGACCUCGCGCGAUUGGAGCGGCCGAUAUCAGAUUAGGUAGUUGGUGAGGUAAAGGCUCACCAAGCCGACGAUCUGUAGCUGGUCUGAGAGGACGACCAGCCACACUGGGACUGAGACACGGCCCA